rnacentral:rRNA from 1 species
UACGGAGGAUGCAAGCGCUAAUCGGAAUUACUGGGCGUAAAGCGCACGCAGGUGGCUGAGUCAGUCGAUUGUGAAAGCCCUGGGCUUAACCUAGGAAUUGCAGUCGAUACUACUCAGCUAGAGUAUGGGAGAGGGCAGUGGAAUUCCCGGUGUAGCGGUGAAAUGCGUAGAUAUCGGGAGGAACAUCAGUGGCGAAGGCGGCUGCCUGGCCCAAUACUGACACUCAGGUGCGACAGCGUGGGGAGCAAACAGG